rnacentral:rRNA from 1 species
GACGAACGCUGGCGGCGUGCUUAACACAUGCAAGUCGAACGGAAAGGCCCUGCUUUUGUGGGGUGCUCGAGUGGCGAACGGGUGAGUAACACGUGAGUAACCUGCCCUUGACUUUGGGGUAACUGCAGGAAACUGGGGCUAAUACCGGAUAGGAGAUGCUGCUGCAUGGGGGGGGUUGGAAAGUUUCGGCGGUGGGGGAUAGACUCGCGGCUUAUCAGCUAGUUGGUGGGGUAGUUGCCUAGCAAGGCUUUGACGGGUAGCCGGCCCGAGAGGGUGAACAGGCACAAUGGGCCUGCGGGACGGCGCAGUCUCGUACAGGGGGCAACAGGGGGGAGUAUUGCCCAGCGGUGCGGAGCCUGAUGCAAAGGCCCCCGGUGCGGGAAGAACGCCUUCGGGUUGGAAACCGCUUUAGCCUAUUACCAAGCGUUAGUGACGGUAAUAAGUGAAGAAGCACCGGCUAACUACGUG